GGCUCAGGAUGAACGCUAGCGACAGGCCUAACACAUGCAAGUCGAGGGGCAGCACAAGGAGCAAUCUGAGGUGGCGACCGGCGCACGGGUGAGUAACACGUAUGCAACCUGCCUGUAAGCGGGGAAUAACCCGUUGAAAGACGGACUAAUACCGCAUAAUACUAAAUUACUGCAUGGUAAUUUAUUUAAACAUUUAUGGCUUACAGAUGGGCAUGCGCAUGAUUAGCUAGUUGGAGAGGUAACGGCUCCCCAAGGCAACGAUCAUUAGGGGUUCUGAGAGGAAGGUCCCCCCACACUGGUACUGAGACACGGACCAGACUCCUACGGGAGGCAGCAGUGAGGAAUAUUGGUCAAUGGACGAGAGUCUGAACCAGCCAAGUCGCGUGCAGGAAGAAUUGUCCUAUGGAUUGUAAACUGCUUUUGCAGGGGAAUAAAGUGCAUCACGUGUGAUGUUUUGUAUGUACUCUGCGAAUAAGGAUCGGCUAACUCCGUGCCAGCCGCCGC
rnacentral:rRNA from 1 species